rnacentral:rRNA from 1 species
GAUGAACGCUAGCUACAGGCUUAACACAUGCAAGUCGCGGGGCAGCAUGGGGGUUGCUUGCAAUCCCCGAUGGCGACCGGCGCACGGGUGAGUAACGCGUAUCCAACCUGCCCUUCACCACGGGAUAACCCGGCGAAAGUCGGACUAAUACCGUAUGUUGUCCAUUGACGGCAUCCGAUUUGGACGAAAGGUUUGGCGGUGAAGGAUGGGGAUGCGUCCGAUUAGCUGGACGGCGGGGUGACGGCCCACCGUGGCGACGAUCGGUAGGGGUUCUGAGAGGAAGGUCCCCCACACUGGAACUGAGACACGGUCCAGACUCCUACGGGAGGCAGCAGUGAGGAAUAUUGGUCAGUGGGCGUAAGCCUAAACCAGCCAAGUAGCGUGCAGGAUGACGGCCCUAUGGGUUGUAAACUGCUUUUAUGCGGGGAUAAAGUGGCCCACGUGUGGGUUUUUGCAGGUACCGCAUGAAUAAGGACCGGCUAAUUCCGUG